AUGUCAGGUGUUCCUGAGAGAUUCAGUGGUUCAUACAGUGGUGCACUGACCACUUUCACCAUCAGUGGAGUCCAGAUAGAGGAUGAAGCUGAGUAUCAUUGUGGUCGUGCCCUGUCCUCCCCAGUUAUAAAUCUACUGAGUCCCCCGCCAAAGGAGAUCGUCAGCACUAACCAAGCCACAGUGAUCUGCGUGGUCAACAAAUUUUACCCUGACCACGUCACAGUGAGCUGGACAGUUGACGGACGGGAGGUGUCGGCAAACACGCAGGACAGCGCGUCGGUCAAACAGUCAGACGGGACGUAUAGCAUGAGUAGCAGUCUCACUCUGUCCGAGUCCGACUGGAACGCCGCUGAAGUCUUCACAUGCAAAGUUCAACACGAAAGCCAGGGGACGCCUGUCACUGGAAGCCUGAACAAGAGUCAGUGUGAAACGGAGUAG